GGCAGAGGUGGCAAGCGUUGUUCGGAUUUACUGGGCGUAAAGAGUGCGUAGGUGGUGAGGUAAGACCUGUGGGAAAGACCUGGGCUUAACCCAGGAAGGUCGCAGGUGACUGCCUCGCUUGAGGACGGGAGAGGAGAGCGGAAUUCCCGGUGUAGCGGUGAAAUGCGUAGAGAUCGGGAAGAAGGCCGGUGGCGAAGGCGGCUCUCUGGAACGUUCCUGACACUGAGGCACGAAAGCGUGGGGAGCAAACAGG
rnacentral:rRNA from 1 species